UACGGAGGGAGCUAGCGUUGUUCGGAAUUACUGGGCGUAAAGCGCACGUAGGCGGCUUUUUAAGUCAGGGGUGGAAUCCCGGAGCUCAACUCCGGAACUGCCCCUGAAACUGGGAAGCUAGAAUCUUGGAGAGGCGAGUGGAAUUCCGAGUGUAGAGGUGAAAUUCGUAGAUAUUCGGAAGAACACCAGUGGCGAAGGCGACUCGCUGGACAAGUAUUGACGCUGAGGUGCGAAAGCGUGGGGAGCAAACAGG
rnacentral:rRNA from 1 species